UAAUAAAUUAUAGUCAAGAGAAGGAACAACAAGCACGGUAUCAAGACUAAGGGUAUCUGACAGGGAGACAGUGCCUUCUCCAAUAAUGGAAACAACAUUACCGUUGGCAACACUCACAACGGUUUUGUUGGAUGGUUUUAGGAUUUGUACCUGUCUAGAUUCACAAGUCAUAUGUUCAGUAGCACCGGAAUCAAUUAUCCAUGUAUUAUUCGUAACAGAUGCAGAAACGUUUAAAGCCUUACCAUCGUUGUCUAUAUGUUUAGAAGCUACCUUAGCUUUGGCAAUUAGUGCAUGAGUCUAGACUGCCAUUGUUCUGGAUGAGUUUGCUGCAAUGUGUAUGGGUGAUUGGUAACGUCCAAACUUCCAACCAAAGGUCCUGUAAAACAAUGACCAAAAAACAAACAAAUUUCUUUUUUCUUUUUUUCUGUUUCCUCCAUUUUUCUCCUUUUUUUUUUUGUCUUUUUCCUCUUUCUUUACUUCUUCACCCG
rnacentral:lncRNA from 1 species